CUCCCAAACCCCUGUGAACAUACCUUUAUGUUGCCUCGGCGGAUCAGCCCGCGCCCCGUAAAACGGGACGGCCCGCCGCAGGAAACCCUAAACUCUGUUUUUAGUGGAACUUCUGAGUAUAAAAAACAAAUAAAUCAAAACUUUCAACAACGGAUCUCUUGGUUCUGGCAUCGAUGAAGAACGCAGCAAAAUGCGAUAAGUAAUGUGAAUUGCAGAAUUCAGUGAAUCAUCGAAUCUUUGAACGCACAUUGCGCCCGCCAGUAUUCUGGCGGGCAUGCCUGUUCGAGCGUCAUUUCAACCCUCAAGCCCAGCUUGGUGUUGGGAUCUGUCUUUAUUGACAGUCCUCAAAUUGAUUGGCGGUCACGUCGAGCUUCCAUAGCGUAGUAAUUUACACAUCGUUACUGGUAAUCGUCGCGGCCACGCCGUUAAACCCCAACUUCUGAAUGUUGACCUCGGAUCAGGUAGGAAUACCCGCUGAACUUAAGCAUAUCAAUAAGCGGAGGAAAAGAAACCAACAGGGAUUGCCCUAGUAACGGCGAGUGAAGCGGCAACAGCUCAAAUUUGAAAUCUGGCUUUCGGGCCCGAGUUGUAAUUUGUAGAGGAUGACUUUGAUGCGGUGCCUUCCGAGUUCCCUGGAACGGGACGCCAUAGAGGGUGAGAGCCCCGUCUGGUUGGAUGCCAAAUCUCUGUAAGUCUCCUUCGACGAGUCGAGUAGUUUGGGAAUGCUGCUCUAAAUGGGAGGUAUAUGUCUUCUAAAGCUAAAUACCGGCCAGAGACCGAUAGCGCACAAGUAGAGUGAUCGAAAGAUGAAAAGCACUUUGAAAAGAGAGUUAAAAAGUACGUGAAAUUGUUGAAAGGGAAGCGUUUAUGACCAGACUUGGGCUUGGUUAAUCAUCUGGGGUUCUCCCCAGUGCACUUUUCCAGUCCAGGCCAGCAUCAGUUUUCGCCGGGGGAUAAAGGCUUCGGGAAUGUGGCUCCCCUCGGGGAGUGUUAUAGCCCGUUGUGUAAUACCCUGGCGGGGAC
rnacentral:rRNA from 1 species